rnacentral:lncRNA from 1 species
AGUAGAUGAACAACAAAAUCGGGACAGACUGGUAAUGACGAUGAAGAUGGAAGAAGGCCAAAGAGUAAUGGGUGUAAAUGAUAUAUUUUUUGUUUUAGCUGCACUCGUAGACAGUCCUAUACAUGCUAUAGAUAAUAAAAUUAGAAAAUGUGAGGCGUUCCAGAAACAAAAAUAAAAUACUAGACUUACCAGACUGAGAUGUUAGUCUGUUUCCCGGCCGUUAUUGAAAUUGUUGACAAUAUUUGUUAAUAUAUGUAUAUUCCGAAUACCGUAGUCCAGUCAAUCGAAGAUUUAUCCUCAAACUAAUUGCAACAGAAAAUGUUUUAGUUAUAAUCUAUAGCAUUAUGCCCUUUUUAUGCCCUUUUUAUGCCCUUUUUAUAUACACAGAAAAAAGUCCCAUUAAAUCUAACUUCACUUGAGGCAGGAACAUGUUAUAUAAUAUGUUAUAUAUACUAGAUAUACUGUUCCCAGCUUGAGAAAAACUCAAAAUCAGCAUUUUUAAUUUCCUAUGGAAAUUAACAUUAGAAGGGGAGAUAACUCUUGCAAAAAUAAGUCUUUUUUUUGGUCAGAUUUUGGUUGUUUUUCUUGAAAUUUAUGUAAAGUAUGAAACUUAAAUGGGGUUAUAGGUUUGUAUUUGACUAAAUUAUAUAAUCUUCUGCUCAUGAAAUGUACAAACCCUAAGUGUUAUGGGUAGUUUUAUUUUUUCUAUGCAUUUUUCAUUUAAAAAAUUGCAAAUUUGAAGCUUUGUGACAAUUUAGAAAAAGUAAUGUGAAAAUUUGGUAUUGUUUACAUCUGUAUAUUAUAUUUUUUCAGCAACUUACUUAUCUAAAGAAACUUUAAACCACAAAAAAGAAGAAUACAUGCUUAAUUAUUUUGAUUAAAUUUGAGAUUCUUUACCUUGACACGUUGAAAAAUUCAAAAAAGGGUCAACCAAUGAAUUAUGAAAUUAAGUUUAUAGCUUGAUAAAAGAUAUAAAACACCUUUAGAGUUGUUUGUUAUACUCUAAAGACAGCUAAAAAAUCAAGAAUCAAUACAUUCUGAUGAAUAGAAGCAGUAAAGUAAUAACUUUCUAUCAAUUUUUAUUCAAAUUUCUGCCUUUUUUGCGAGAGUUAUCUACUUUUUCAAUGCAAAUCUCCAUAGGAAUUUUAAAUAGUGAUUUUUUUAGUCUUCCUCAAGUUAGAUUUGAUGGGACUUAUUUCUGUGUAUAUUUGGGGUAUAAUGCAAAAGAUUAAAACUUAAAAAUCUUCUGUUGCAAUUACUUUAGGGUUAGGGUCAAAUUUAUGCUAGAUUGACUGGACUAGAAGGCAUACUGAAUGUUUUACGGAAGGGACCAACUUAUACUGGUCCAAAUACAAAAGUCGUUGGACAAAAGUGAGUUCCCACUAAAAAAAUUGUCCUAUCAUUUCAACUAAAAUCAAUAAUUUUCAAUAAAUUAUUACCGAGCAACUGUAUGAGCGAUUUUUAUACAGUUUUCAAUAUAAAUUUAUAAAGGGGCAUAACUCAAGAACAGUUUAAGUGAAACCAACCAAUGACAAACUUGAUUUGUGUUUCUGGUUAUAUAUUCAGCAUAGUGUAUGGAGUUUCAUGAAAUUUGGAGGAGACAAACUAUAGUUAGAAAGCAGAAACUAAAAGAUCAGAAAUUUAUGUUAAAAACAGGGGCACAACUCCUGAAGCCAUCCAAUUUUUAACUUGAUCUGUGCUUUGUUGUAAUAAGUAUUGUGUAUAAUUUCCAUACCCUACUUUUGAUUAAACUAAAUUUAAAGUUGAAAACAAAAACAGAAAAAAAAAUGUUGCCUAGUUUUAAUCCAUCAACAAACCUGGCUGCUGCUGUUAAAAUUAUAGAACAUGGGAUUGAAUGAAGUUUUUGGAUCAUAUGAUCUACUGGGAUUUUAGCAAAAAAAAUAAUUUUAAAUCCAAAUCGCACAGCAUCAUGAUAAAAUAUACUGUGGACCCAUUGAAUGAUAACAAGAAUGUGUCCAAAGUACACGGAUGCCCCACUCGCACUAUCAUUUUCCAUGUUCAAUGGAAUGUUAAUUUGGGUAAAAAAUCUAAUUUGGCAUUAAAGUUAGAAACAAUUAAGUUUUCUUUUAUAGUCAAAUAUAUGAAAUAAGGAGAAAAAUUAAGAAAAUGAGUAUAUAGUUGCUCUGCAUCAGGGUAUAAUAUCAGGAUAUACACAAACUGUAUAGAAAUAGGAAGAUGUGGUGUGAGUGCCAACGAGACAACUCUCCAUCCAAAUAACCAUUUAUAAAAGUAAACAAUUAUAGUUCAAUGUACUGCCUUCAACACAGUGCCUUGCUUCACACCGAACAACAAGCUCUAAAGGGCCCCCAAAUUACUAGUGUAAAACCAUUGAACCGGGAAAACUAACAGUCUAAUAUCCCUAUUUCACAAAUGUUUCAAGGCAAAAUGUGUUUUUGAGAUUCUAUUCGGUCAGAAUAUGUCUUUUUUGCAAUAUUUCAGGGAAAAAUAGAUAUAGGAAGAUGUGGUGUGAGUGCCAAUGAGACAACUCUCCAUCCAAAUAACAAUUUAAAAAAAAAGUAAACCAUUAUAGGUCAAUGAACAUCCUUCAAAACAGAGCCUUGGCUCACACCAAACAACAAACCCAGUGUCUCGCCUACUUUUGCUGUAAACGGCAGGCUCAACAACAAAAAUGAGGGAAAAAAAUCAAUAAAAAUAUUCCUCUUGAUACUAUCUUAGGAUUGUAAGAAGCUUCUGUCCAAGUUUGGUAAAAAAUCUAUGAUAGUUAAUGAAUCUAAUAAAUGUUUUUAAAAAACUUUAAAUGCAGACUGUAUGUAAUGUUAACUGGAAGAAAAUCUAAGUCCAUUUAAAAGUAAAAAUACAGAAAAAAUGGAGUCAUCUUUUUACAAAAUUUACUUCUGGAUACUAUAUAUCUUAUGAUCAUAAAUAAGCUUCUGUCCAAGUUUGGUACAAACCCAGGAUAGUUUAAGAAAGUCAUUUAAAAAAUUUCAAAAACUUUAACCACAGAGUGAAUGUAAUGUUUUCCCGCAGAAAAAAUAAGUCCAUUUAAAAGUAAAAUACGGAAAAAAUGGAUUUAUUUUUUCACAAAAUUUACUUCUGGAUACUAUCUUAUGAUCAUAAACAAGCUUCUGUCCAAGUUUGGUACAAACCCAGGAUAGUUUAAGAAAGUUAUAAAAAUUCUAAAAACUUUAACCACAGAGUGAAUGUUAUGUUUCCCCGCAGAAAAAAACAAAGUCCAUUUAUAAGUAAAAUACGCAAAAAAUGGAAUUUUAUUUUCACAAAAUUUACUUCUGGAUACUAUCUUAUGACCAUAAACAAGCUUCUGUCCAAGUUUGGUAGAAAUCCAGUAUAGUUUAAGAAAGUUAUUAAAAUUUCAAAAACUUUAACCACAGAGUGAAUAUUCCUGGACACCGACGACACCCGACGACGACAGAAUUUAGGAUCGCUUAGUCUCGCUUUUUCGACUAAAGUCGAAGGCUCGAGACGACAAAAAGGAGAAACAUUAGAAACACAUGUAAAUUACAUAAACAAACGGCAACUACUGUACAUCAGAUUCCUGACUUAGGACAGGUGCAAACAUUUGCAGCGGGAUUAAUAGUUUUAAUGGUAUGAAAAGUAUGAAAUUGCAAAAAAUAAGAGCACAUAUAAAAAGUCCACUAUUGUUUGUCCCCUAGUUUUACAUUACAUGUAUUAUUCUUUGUUACCGGUAAACUUUUCUUUCAAAAUCUCCUCUUAUUACAAUGUAGUCCCUAAAUAAAAAAAUCCAUGUGGAUUUUUGAUGGAUUCCAGGUGGGUUUUUUUUUACAGGGAAUCCGUUUGAGGUCCCCCUUUACGCCUAGAAACUUUCUUACAUGGGUUCCAGACAUAUUCAAGUAGGAAUAGAGCCAAAAUAUGCGCCUAUAUUGGAAGGAAAAAAUCUGUUCUAUAACAGGGAAAUAUAGCACUUGAAAAUAUUCAACCUAAAGAGGCGGAAAAUAUUUCCACUUGAAAAGGAAAAAAUAUUUGUGCCUAUAAAGAUGGAAAUUAUUUCUGCAUGAUAAAGGUUAACAUUUUGAGUUUAAGGCUUUUAUCCAUUUUUUAAAUAAAAAAAAAACUAUUUUUGUAAUGAUUAACAUAAGAGUCACAAUUAAUGUUUCAAUGUCUUUUUAAAGUUUAUAAGAUGAUGUUUGGUCAACUUCUGUGCCAGUAUCAAUAACGCUUCAUGAAGGCACAAGAAAUCUGUUUUACCAAACCUGCACUUUAUGGCUAAUAUCUCAAAAACUAUAAUAACUACCCUGAAAAUUUAAGAAAAAUAUUUUGAGUUGCCCCAGAGAUAUUGUUCAACAGGAAAAUAUCAAUUCUAGUCAAUUAAAAUUGGAAUUUAAUACAGUUGGCCAUGCUGCCACAUACUAUUGCAAACUCACAAUCUGAAUGUUGACAGGCUUUUAAUUGAAAUGUUGAAAUUGUAAAUUAUUUACUAACUUAUUCAGCAACUUGGCUCCCCCUCCCAUUGUUUUGAAAACCAUAGCUGUUUAUCCACCAAUGUCUUUUCUAAAUAUAUCAUAUAAACUCCACCUAUAUUUCUUUUUCAGUGAUUGAAGUCUGAUCCAGUUUUAAAUGGUGUAACAUCAACCUCACUUUUAUUACUUGUUUUCUGAAGGCUGAUCAAGUAUAGAUAUCAGCCUCAUGCAACUAUAUUGUUAGUUUGACCAUGUUUGAUGAAUGCUAAUCCAGGUUUUAAUGGUCGUAUUUCAACUUUACUUAUAUUCUUAUUUUGCGAAAGGCUUAUCCAGGUUGAAAUUGUGGUUCAUCAUCCUCUCCUUUAUAAUAUAUUACUUGUUUUAUGUAGGCUGAUCCAGUUAAAAACUGUAGCUUAUCAACCUAGUAUAUGCCUGUUUUAUAAACGGUAUAUCAAUUAUAAAAUGGGAAAUUACAUGUAUCAGCCUUAUCUAUGUUUCAGGUUUCAAGACUGAUACUGUAUAAAAUGGAGGUUUAUCAUUCCUUCCUAUAUUGCUUGUAUUGUAGAUAUAUAUAUGUAGUCUGAAAUAGCUGCUUAUCAACCUCACUUAAGCAUGUUUAGUUUCUUGGUUUUUUUGAUUGAUCUAGUAUUAAAUAGAAGUUUUUCAAUGUCAACUAUAUUGCUAGUUUUAUGAAGGCUGAUCCAAUGGAAACUAAUGGUUGAUCAAAUUUAUAGCUUGUUUUAUAAUGGUUGAUCCUGUAGAAAAUUGUGGUUAAUCAUUUUUACCUACAUGUAUAUUGUUGGUUUAAUGAACAAUCCUUCAGAGACCUCACCUUAUUUCUAUACACAGUUUAUAAAGCAAUCAUUCCCCAAAAAAAUAUCGUAGAUGGUAUAUUAACUUUAAGGUAGAAAACCAUCAGGGUUAUACCACUUUUUUCAUUACCCUACAAUUUGAAGACCUUUUUAUAUAAGGACUUUUCACUUCAAAUAAAAAACUACUUAUUUAAACUUUCAGGAUAUUAGUUUUACUGUACUCGCAUGUAGUAUAAACAUAUAUUAUAUUUUGCAGAUAACAUGCUGGAUUGAAAAUGAGGACUUGUUUGGUGUAAGAAUUUACCAAGGAAAAUAAAGAAUUCUCCAGUCAUUGCAAAAGGUUAAUUUACAGCUGUAGUUUUUUUUUAAAUCUUGUUAAAAAAAAUGGUUUCAUAAAAAAUGAAUGAAUUUACACUGUAUGGAUAAAGGUGUUUGCUAGCCUGUGUGUCUUUCAAAACACUCUACAUAUAUACAUAUCACUACUUUGUAUAUCUAUACCAACACUAUAUAUUGAACACCAUUCUGUAUAUCACCAAUCUGUAAACUUAUCAACAUUUUGAAAACUAAUCACCACACUGUAUAAUUUCAUAUCUAUAUCUAUAUCUAUCACCACUAUGUAUAUUUAUCUCAACUCUCUCUAUCAUAACUAUGUAUGUCUUUCAACAAUUGUAAAUUUAUCUCAACUCUAUAUCUAUUACCAAUAUGUAAACCUAUCCCCAUUUUGGUUUAUUUAUUUCCACUCUAUACAUAUCCCCAUUUUGUUUAUUUAUCUCAACUCUCUAUAUUUUCACCACUAUGUCUCUAUAUCUAUCACCACUAUGUUUAUAUAUCCCCAUUUUGUAUAUUUAGCUCAACUCUCCAUAUCCAUCACCAAUAUAUAUAUAUAUUUUACCACUUUGUAUAUUUAUCUCCACCCUAUAUCUAUCACCACUAUGUUUAUAUAUAUCCCCAUUUUGUAUUUUUAUCUCAACUCUCUAUAUCUAUCACCACUAUGUCUCUAUAUCUAUCACCCCUAUGCUUAUGUAUCCCCAUUUUGUAUAUUUAUCUCAAGUCUAUAUCUAUCCCCAUUUUGUUUAUUUAUCUCAAAUCUUAUAUCUAUCCCCAUUUUAUUUAUUUAUCUCAACUCUUUAUCUAACACCACUAUGUAUAUCUAUCACCACUUGUUUAUUUAUCUAAUCUCUAUAUCUAUCACCACUUUGUUUAUUAAUCUCAACUCUAUAUAUGCACCACUAUGUUUAUAUAUAUCCCCACUUGUAUAUAUAACACCACUUUGUUUAUUUAUCUCAAGUCUAUAUCUAUCACCACUAUGUUUAUAUAUCCCCAUUUUGCAUAUUUAGCUCCAACUCUCUGUAUCUAUCACCAAUAUGUAUAUUUUCACGACUUUGUAUUUUUAUCUCUGACUCAACCCUAUAUCUAUAACCACUUUGUAUAUAUAUCUGUCCCCAUUUUGUUUAAUUAUCUCAACUCUUUAUCUAACACCACUGUUUAUAUAUCCCCGUUUUGUUUAUUUAUCUCAAGUCUAUAUCUAUCCCCAUUUUAUUUAUUUAUCUCAACUCUGUAUCUAACACCACUAUGUUUAUCUAUCACCACUGUGUAUAUUUAUCACCACUAUGUGUAUCUAUCACCACUAUGUGUAUCUAUCACAACUUCUAGAUUUGUCUCAACUCUAUAUCUAUCACCACUAUGUUUAUAUAUCCCCAUUUUGUAUUUUUCUCUCAACUCUCUUUAUCUAUCACCAAUAUGUAUAUCUUUCACCACUUUUUUUAUUUAUCUCAUUUCUUUAUAUCUAUCACCACUUUGUUUAUUUAUCUCAACUCUAUAUCUAUCACCACUAUGUAUAUUUAUUUAGACUUGUAUAUGUAUCUCAACUUUAUAUCUAUCACCACUUUGUCUAUUUAUCUCAACUCUAUAUAUCUAUCACCACUAUGUAUAUCUAUCACGACUUGUAUAUGUAUCUCAACUUUAUAUCUAACACCACUAUGUAUAUAUGUCACCACUUUGUUAAUUGUUUAUUUAUCUCACCUCUAUAUCUAUCACUGUCAUGGAAUUGAAGUUCCUUCAUAAUACAAGUUCCAAAAGGAAACAUUAUUCUGGAAUAUUAUUUCCACAGGAAUAAAUAUAACAGUAUAUGUUCCUAAUGGAAUAAAUGGUAUAGAAUAUUUAUAGGUAUAUCAAUCACUUCUCUGUUUAUCUAUCACCCUUUGUAUAUGUAAAACCUCUUCUUAUUUCUAUCAAAAUUAUGUGUUUCUAUCACUACUCUAUAUAUCUACAACCCCACUCUAUAUUUGUCACUUCUUUGUAAAUCUAUCACCACUUUGAAUAUCUAUCACCACUAUGUAUAUAUAUCUGUCCCACCACUAUAUAGGUGUCCCUCCUUUUAUAUCUGUCACUACUUUGUAUUUAUUUAACAUUUAAAUUAUAUUUCACCACCUUGAAUAUCUAUGUAUUUGGCAAAACUUUUAGGAAUUUUGGAUCUCAAUGCUCUUCAACUUCGUUCUUUAUUUGGCAUUUUUUUUUAAUUUUUAUAACUUUUUUGGAUUCGAGCAUCACUAAUGAGUCUUUUGUAGACAAAACGAGCAUCUGUCGUAUAUAUAAAAUUUAGUCCUGGUAUCUAUGAUGAAUUUAUUUAUUCACCAUUCUGUAUACUUGUCACUUCUCUGUAUAUAUACCUAUCCCCACAAUGUAUAUCUUUUACCACUUGUAUAUUUAUCUCAACUCUAUAUCUAUCUCCACUUUGUAUGUUUAUCUCGACUCUAUAUCUAACACACUAUGUAUAUUGUUCACCAAUUGUAAGUUUAGCUCAACUCUAUAUCUAUCGAUCACCACUAAGUAUGUCUAUCCCCAUUUUGUUUAUUUAUCUCAACUCUAUAUCUAUCCCCAUUUUGUAUAUUUAUCUCAACUCUAUAUUUAUCACCACUAUAUAUAUUUAUCUCAACUCUCUAUACAUGCUAUAUCUAUACCCAUUUUAUUAAUUUAUCUCAAGUCUAUAUCUAUCAUCACUUUAUAUAUUAAUCACCACUUAUACAUUAACCUUAACUCUAUAUCUAUCACCACUUUGUUUAUUAAUCUCAACUCUAUAUAUGCACCACUAUGUUUAUAUAUAUCCCCACUUGUAUAUAUAACACCACUUUGUUUAUUUAUCUCAAGUCCAUAUCUAUCACCACUAUGUUUAUAUAUCCCCAUUUUGUAUAUUUAUCUCAACUCUCUAUAUCUAUAUCACCACUUUGUUUAUCUCAAAUCCAACCGUAUGCAUAUUGUGUAAAAGUUCGCAAACGGUCCAGACUGUACAUGUACAGCCCAAAUUAUCCUUUGGUCUGGAACAUAUGUAUAAAUAUCAAAUAAAAAUCCAGUGGGCUAGCCUUCAGGAUAAAAACAAAACACAAAUUGUCUUACAUAAUCAAUGUUAUUAUCUGCACAGCCCUUGAAUUAAAAGAGGAUUUUUUUUUUAAACAUUAAGAGACGCUUAAUCACACUUGAGAUUUUUUUAUUUUACUGUCAAGCUAUAAAAGAUGUUUAAGGACUUUAAGUAAUAUAUUAAAUUAUACUUGGUAAAAUAUUCUUAAACCAAAAAAGGUAUUUUUGGCAACAUUCCCAAGCAGGAAGAUCAGAGAAAGACACAGCUUCAACUUAAGUUUUGAACACAUCAUUGGAAAAGUCAGUCAUCUAGUGCAGAUGUUAACAGAUCAGUUCAAACUUAUUUCUUUUUCAUUUUAACAUGAAUGCUUAUUCUAUUAAUUGAACUAUAUUUUGUGCACUUACAUGAAUCAAUGUUAUUUUAGGUUCACCAAUAUAUCUUAGUGAUCCUUAGUGGUUGCAAUACAAGUGUCAAAGAUUGAAGGACAAGAAUGACUUUAAAGAACAGAGAAG